CGGCGGCUGGACCAAUGGGGUGCCGGGAGGCUCUGGGGAUUGGUUUUAAAAACAAGAGAAAGAGCGUCAGAGGAUUAGCAUCUGAGAAGUCUCUGUGUGGCCUCACAUGGUCGCCUGUUGUCUUAGUUCUCGUCUGGUAGGCACCAAGGGUCGACCUCCUCCCUGCUCUGGAUAAAUCAUAGGUGUCAAACAGCCAGUUUGAUGACAAGGGUAGUGGAAGGCCUAUGAGUGCUGGCUACGAAUGAGUGAAUUAUUCUCAAAGGAUUGCUUCUCUCCGUCAUACACAGAAGGUUCUAUAAUGGAGGAAUUUGAAAAUGAAAUUAUAGAUGAGCUGCGGCAUAUAAGUGCCGAGCUCAAAGAGAUAUGGAAUGAAAUUGGAUUCGAUGCCAAAAAUUGCUCGGUGCGGCAGAAUCGUACUAGAGAACUUGUUACGAAUCUUCUGAAGGAUGUGUUGGACGGUGAAACUUCAUUAAGGAAUCAACUUGCCAAAAGUAUUGAAGACAAUGGCAAAGAAUUCUAUCACCUAAACAAGGAGUUGGGCAUUUGUCUUCCUGACCCAGAUGAUACAUUGAAGCUAUAUGAUCUAGAACGCUGCCUUCGACAUAAAGUAGCCGAGCUACGCACAGAAGUCAACAAGCGACGUGACACACUCAGAGACCUACGGGACAAAGAGAAGGAACUGUGUGACCGUCUCUCAGAAGAACCUUGCAUUAUUCCCAAGAAACCCAUACCAUCCAAGGAGGAUAUGGAGGAAGUGGAAAGGAGAAUUCGUACUCUAGAGCAGGAGAAGACUAAUCGGGAAAAGACCUUUAAACGUCUUAAGCGCAACUUGUCGAGUCUUUUGGAACAGCUUGAACUAAAACCCAGUUAUCCUUUUGAGCACAGCAUCCUCUCUGACAUAGAAGGUUUAUUCAUUCUUUCUUGUGAAAAUCUUCAAAAGCUGAAACAACUGAAUGAAGAUUAUGACCAAAAGGUGAAGGAAAAUGAGUGUGCGUGUCUGCAGCUUCAUGAACAGAUAAGACUCCUAUAUGACCGCCUAGAAGUUGACCCGGUUGAGCGAGAUAACUUCUUUGCUUCCAUAAACAGCCCCACUCCUUCAGUAUUGACAACGCUUCAGCGAGAACUGGAGCGUCUGGAGGAGCUUAAACGCCAAAAUAUGUCUAGAUUCAUUAACCAAUUAAGACGUGAAUUGGAAAUUUUGUGGGAGAAAUGCCACAUUUGUGAAAGGGAGAGAAAUUCAUUUCUACCAUACUUUACAGAGGGAUACACGGAGGAAAUUCUUGAGGCUCAUGACAAUGAGGUUAUGAGGCUUAAUGCAUAUUUCAAUGACCACAAGCAAAUCUUUAUGAAAAUAAAACAGAGACAUGAGGUGUGGAAUAAAUUAGUACAACUGGAAGAAAAGGCUAAUGAUCCUAACAGGUUGUUUGGUAACCGGGGAUGCUCUUUGCUGCAAGAAGAAAAAGAAAGAAAGCGUGUGAAAAAUGAACUGCCUCGUGUAGAAAAGGAGCUGGAAGAGCUGGUCCUUGCUUCCGAGGCAAAACAUGGGAAGCCAUUCCUUAUAGACGACAAGACCAUAUCGGACUACAUUACUGAUCAGUGGCACAAGUACAAUGAACAGAAAGCACAGGAAAAGAAAGUGAGACAAAAUAAUAGAGUAAAGCAGUUGAACUCGGAGAGUCGUUUAGGACCCAACUCGACAAAAAGGCGUUUGGCUCGUAAUGAUUCGAUGAGGAAUUCAAAACUCAGGCGAAUUGGAGAGGAGCACUCAAUGGCACAUUCAUCUAUUGCUACUCCCGUACGAGGACCCAAGUCAGUGCUGCGAGAGCAUGAUCAGAAUACCAUGAAGAACGUAACGACACGUCUCUUCACAAAAAAGGAAGGGUCAAACCUCUCGUCUGUUGAAGUGUCAUCGUAUUCAAAUUUUUCUAUGAAUACUAAAUCAACACAUUAAUUAGAAGUGGCGUGGUCAGGUGUGGCGAGGGUUGCAUGCAGACAAGUCAGGAUGGGAUUCAGCGUCGCAGCGAAAGGGAGAAUAUCCGUAGCUCGGUAGUCCAUGGACACAAAAAAACUCCAUUAGUAAAGCGUCGUGUUUCUCCACGCUACCCUCCCCCAGGCCUGCCUAAGACUCCUAUGACUU
rnacentral:misc_RNA from 1 species